GGAGGUGUGGCUCACUGGUAGAGCACUUGCCUACCAUUCAUGAGGCUCUGGGUUCAAACUCAAGUACCACCA
rnacentral:tRNA from 1 species